UGGGGAAUAUUGCGCAAUGGGCGAAAGCCUGACGCAGCGACGCCGCGUGAGGGAUGAAGGCCUUCGGGUCGUAAACCUCUGUCAGGAGGGAAGAACCGCGACAGUUCGAACAGGGCUGUCGUCUGACGGUACCUCCAAAGGAAGCACCGGCUAACUCCGUGCCAGCAGCCGCGGUAAUACGGAGGGUGCGAGCGUUAAUCGGAAUCACUGGGCGUAAAGCGCGCGUAGGCGGCUUGGCAAGUCGGGGGUGAAAUCCCACCGCUCAACGGUGGAACUGCCUUCGAAACUGCCUGGCUUGAGUGUCGGAGAGGGUGGCGGAAUUCCAGGUGUAGGAGUGAAAUCCGUAGAUAUCUGGAGGAACACCGGUGGCGAAGGCGGCCACCUGGACGACAACUGACGCUGAGGUGCGAAAGCGUGGGUAGCAAACA
rnacentral:rRNA from 1 species